GCACCAAAUGAGCUCUUCAAAAGUAAGCAGGGGCAGUAUGUGUCAAGGCAGCCACACCUCUGCACUCCUGGACCAUGAGCCUAUUCACACAGCACAAUAUUUUCAAGAUGAGGCAUCAGUAUGCUCUUAUGCUCCUUAUACAAAGGUCAAGCACUCUUUUCUUUCUCCCUCCUCAUGAUGUAGUCCUAUCCACAUUAACUUUUACAGG